rnacentral:rRNA from 1 species
AGCGGCGGCUAUACAUGCAAGUCAGAACGAACGGAGGAAGAGCUUGCUCUUCCAAAGUUAGUGGCGGACGGGUGAGUAACACGUGGGCAACCUGCCUGUAAGUUGGGGAUAACUCCGGGAAACCGGGGCUAAUACCGAAUGAUAAGAAGUGACGCAUGUCAUUGCUUUAAAAGAUGGUUUCGGCUAUCGCUUACAGAUGGGCCCGCGGUGCAUUAGCUAGUUGGUAGGGUAAUGGCCUACCAAGGCAACGAUGCAUAGCCGACCUGAGAGGGUGAUCGGCCACACUGGGACUGAGACACGGCCCAGACUCCUACGGGAGGCAGCAGUAGGGAAUCUUCCGCAAUGGACAAAAGUCUGACGGAGCAACGCCGCGUGUAUGAAAAAGGUUUUCGGAUCGUAAGGUACUGUUGCUAGAAAAAAACAAAGAUAAGAUUAAA